rnacentral:rRNA from 1 species
UCCUACGGGGGGCAGCAGUGAGGAAUAUUGGUCAAUGGGCGGGAGCCUGAACCGGCCAAGUCGCGUGAGGGAAGACGGUCCUAUGGAUUGUAAACCUCUUUAGGCGGGGAGCAAUGCCGGGCACGCGUGCCCGGAGGGAGAGUACCCGCAGAAUAAGCAUCGGCUAACUCCGUGCCAGCAGCCGCGGUAAUACGGAGGAUGCGAGCGUUAUCCGGAUUCAUUGGGUUUAAAGGGAGCGCAGGCGGGCCUUUAAGCCGGCG